rnacentral:rRNA from 1 species
AUUGAACGCUGGCGGAAUGCUUUACACAUGCAAGUCGAACGGCAGCACGGGGGCAACCCUGGUGGCGAGUGGCGAACGGGUGAGUAAUACAUCGGAACGUGCCCAGUCGUGGGGGAUAACGUAGCGAAAGUUACGCUAAUACCGCAUACGAUCUACGGAUGAAAGCGGGGGACCGUAAGGCCUCGCGCGAUUGGAGCGGCCGAUGUCAGAUUAGGUAGUUGGUGAGGUAAAGGCUCACCAAGCCGACGAUCUGUAGCUGGUCUGAGAGGACGACCAGCCACACUGGGCCUGGGACACGGCCCAGACUCCUACGGGAGGCAACAGUGGGGAAUUUUGGACAAGGGGCGCAAGCCUGAUCCAGCCAUUCCGCGUGCAGGACGAAGGCCUUCGGGUUGUAAACUGCUUUUGUACGGAACGAAAAGGCUCUGGUUAAUACCUGGGGCUCAUGACGGUACCGUAAGAAUAAGCACCGGCUAACUACGUGCCAGCCGCCGCCGUAA